rnacentral:rRNA from 2 species
UGCCUAAUACAUGCAAGUCGAGCGCGGGAAGCGAGUGGAUCCCUUCGGGGUGAAGCUCGUGGAACGAGCGGCGGACGGGUGAGUAACACGUGGGCAACCUGCCUGUAAGAUCGGAAUAACCCCGGGAAACCGGGGCUAAUGCCGGGUAAUACUUUCUUUCGCAUGAAGGAAAGUUGAAAGAUGGCUUCUUGCUAUCACUUACAGAUGGGCCCGCGGCGCAUUAGCUAGUUGGUGAGGUAACGGCUCACCAAGGCGACGAUGCGUAGCCGACCUGAGAGGGUGAUCGGCCACACUGGGACUGAGACACGGCCCAGACUCCUACGGGAGGCAGCAGUAGGGAAUCUUCCGCAAUGGACGAAAGUCUGACGGAGCAACGCCGCGUGAACGAUGAAGGUCUUCGGAUCGUAAAGUUCUGUUGUUAGGGAAGAACAAGUACCGUGCGAAUAGAGCGGUACCUUGACGGUACCUAACGAGGAAGCCCCGGCUAACUACGUGCCAGCAGCCGCGGUAAUACGUAGGGGGCAAGCGUUGUCCGGAAUUAUUGGGCGUAAAGCGCGCGCAGGCGGUUCCUUAAGUCUGAUGUGAAAGCCCACGGCUCAACCGUGGAGGGUCAUUGGAAACUGGGGAACUUGAGGACAGAAGAGGAGAGUGGAAUUCCACGUGUAGCGGUGAAAUGCGUAGAUAUGUGGAGGAACACCAGUGGCGAAGGCGACUCUCUGGUCUGUUUCUGACGCUGAGGUGCGAAAGCGUGGGUAGCAAACAGGAUUAGAUACCCUGGUAGUCCACGCCGUAAACGAUGA